CUACGGUCAAAUCACGUUGAAAACACCGGUUCUCGUUCGAUCACCGAAGUUAAGCAUCGUAGAGCCAGGUCAGUACUUAGAUGGGGGACCGCUUGGGAACACCUGGUACUGUAAG